rnacentral:rRNA from 1 species
GGGGGGAUUGAACCCCCGCCCCAUAUCUCCUAGCGGAGGCAGCUGUGGGUUUUCUUCGCCAAGGGAAAGAAUUUCUGACCGAGAAACGCCGCUUGAGGAAAGAAGGUUUUUGGGAUUGUAAAAUUCUUGUGUUAGAGAAGAACAAGGAUGAGAGUAGAACGUUCAUCCCUUGACGGUAUCUAACCAGAAAGCCACGGCUAAUUACGUGCCAGCAGCCGCGGUAAUACGUAGGUGGCAAGCGUUGUCCGGAUUUAUUGGGCGUAAAGCGAGCGCAGGCGGUUUCUUAAGUCUGAUGUGAAAGCCCCCGGCUCAACCGGGGAGGGUCAUUGGAAACUGGGAGACUUGAGUGCAGAAGAGGAGAGUGGAAUUCCAUGUGUAGCGGUGAAAUGCGUAGAUAUAUGGAGGAACACCAGUGGCGAAGGCGGCUCUCUGGUCUGUAACUGACGCUGAGGCUCGAAAGCGUGGGGAGCGAACAGGAUUAGAUACCCUGGUAGUCCACGCCGUAAACGAUGAGUGCUAAGUGUUGGAGGGUUUCCGCCCUUCAGUGCUGCAGCAAACGCAUUAAGCACUCCGCCUGGGGAGUACGACCGCAAGGUUGAAACUCAAAGGAAUUGACGGGGGCCCGCACAAGCGGUGGAGCAUGUGGUUUAAUUCGAAGCAACGCGAAGAACCUUACCAGGUCUUGACAUCCUUUGACCACUCUAGAGAUAGAGCUUCCCCUUCGGGGGCAAAGUGACAGGUGGUGCAUGGUUGUCGUCAGCUCGUGUCGUGAGAUGUUGGGUUAAGUCCCGCAACGAGCGCAACCCUUAUUGUUAGUUGCCAUCAUUUAGUUGGGCACUCUAGCGAGACUGCCGGUGACAAACCGGAGGAAGGUGGGGAUGACGUCAAAUCAUCAUGCCCCUUAUGACCUGGGCUACACACGUGCUACAAUGGGAAGUACAACGAGUUGCGAAGUCGCGAGGCUAAGCUAAUCUCUUAAAGCUUCUCUCAGUUCGGAUUGUAGGCUGCAACUCGCCUACAUGAAGCCGGAAUCGCUAGUAAUCGCGGAUCAGCACGCCGCGGUGAAUACGUUCCCGGGCCUUGUACACACCGCCCGUCACACCACGAGAGUUUGUAACACCCGUAAGUCGGUGGAGGUAACCUUUUGGAGCCAGCCGCC